CCCUAAAGCGCGUGUCCGGGCUUCGGGGCGGGCGCCGCCGUGGGGGAGAGUCGCGCAGGGCCGCCGGGGGCCGAGGCUCAAGGCCCGCGCGCGUGUCUGUCCGGCAGGGCCGCCGCUGUCGUCUCAGGAGCCUGGGUUCCCCGGAGGCCGGGGCCCCGCUCCCCGGACCCGGCGUGGGAGGUGCGCCACCCCCGGAGGACCGGCCUCAACGGUCUGGUUGAACCUCGCUGCCGCAGCCUGCCCUUAACGCGUGUCGCCCUCCACGUUCCAGGUGGCAGAUCCCUUGCAGCGCCUUCAAGCCGGGAGCGGCCUCCCACCCUGAGGUUGCAGAAGAGUGUGGGGUCGGCAGUGUGUGAUGAGAUCAGCAGCAGAGCGUUCCGGGGGUGAGCACUGGCCUGCCUUGAGUAUCCCAGAGACACUUACUAUGGUUCAUGGUGGCAGCGGAGCGGAGGGCAGAGGAAACCCGGGAGUUCCUUGUUACCCCACUGCUGUAAAAUCCUGAGAUGUAACUUGCCUCAUCCCUGAAGAUGACAGCUUUAGGGGUGCCUUAAUUCGUUCCCCCAGGUUUUGUGUGCUGAGGUGCUCAAGAAUGGUGGUCUGCGGUGUGGAGUUUUAAAGCUGGAGGCGGCAGCCCUUUAGCCUCAGAAGAGGCUGUUUUCCCAGAGAACGGUCAGCCAUGCUGCAGCAGGGGAAGAACUUGAAGUUUCAAGGACCAGUGGUCACCAUACCAUCAGUUUGGACUGAAACCCUAGGCUUCCACAGUUGGUGUGGAAACAAUGCUUAACUUGUGCUGAGAUUCAGAGGCCAUUCUCUUACCAACAGAGCCAACAAAUGUGUUUGGCAAACUUGCUAGGGUAUUACGCUAGGAUAGGCACUGUUGGAGUCCUUGAAUUCAUGAGCUUUCUAGUAAUGUAUUAUAAAUACUAUAUUUUUAGCUCCCCUGCCCAAAGAGAGCUUCUAUACCUGUAAAUUUUGUAUAAAUUUGUCAGGUGAGGGUCUGAGUUCUUUAAGCUGCAAAUGUAUUUCUUCCUGAAACAUAUUUCUGUGCAAUUACCACAAACUGCAAUAAAGGAUGGUCUUUA